rnacentral:rRNA from 1 species
UACGUAGGGUGCAGGCGUUAAUCGGAAUUACUGGGCGUAAAGCGUGCGCAGGCGGUCUUUUAAGUCAGAUGUGAAAUCCCCGGGCUUAACCUGGGAACUGCGUUUGAAACUGGAAGGCUUGAGUGUGGCAGAGGGGGGUGGAAUUCCACGUGUAGCAGUGAAAUGCGCAGAUAUCAGGAGGAACACCAAUGGCGAAGGCAGCUCGCUGGGACGGUACUGACGCUGAGGCGCGAAAGCGUGGGGAGCAAACAGG